UACGUAGGGUGCAAGCGUUGUCCGGAAUUAUUGGGCGUAAAGAGCUCGUAGGCGGUCUGUUACGUCCGCUGUGAAAACCCAGGGCUUAACCCUGGGCUUGCAGUGGAUACGGGCAGACUAGAGGUAGGUAGGGGAGAAUGGAAUUCCCGGUGUAGCGGUGAAAUGCGCAGAUAUCGGGAGGAACACCGGUGGCGAAGGCGGUUCUCUGGGCCUUACCUGACGCUGAGGAGCGAAAGCGUGGGGAGCGAACAGG
rnacentral:rRNA from 1 species